rnacentral:lncRNA from 12 species
CAAGGGGUUAAGUAACUUGUCAAAACAUGGAGAUAUUAAAUACUUGGAGGGAAGGGAGUCCCCCUUAAAGGGUCAGAGGAGCGCCACUCCUUGCUGGUUCUUUCCCUUUUAUCACAUGCCAAGCAAAACAUGCACUCCCAUUCCUUCUUCAGCAAUUCUGCUUUUCUUCCCACCCAGGAGUCGGCUUCAUUUCCCCUGAUUCUCCCAAGCAGGCCACUCAGACCCAGCUCUGGGUUUAUAUUUGUUUUUUAAAAAGGUUUUUAGAGCCCCACCUGCCCCUCUUUAUGACUAAUCAACUCUAAAAGUCCUCCGAAGAGGCCUUGGCCAAGGAUUCCCUCUGUCCCACGACGAGGCCCCCGUGAGGCAGCAGCCCGGCCCCCGAGUGCCAGGGUCUUGUGGGAGGACCUGCUUGCGUGAUGGACUGGAGGUGCCAGGCACUGAAGGAAACUGAGUUCCUGAAAACUGUUUCAGUCAAAUUUUUACCACCCACCCUUCUAUUUUUGCUGCAAAUCAGAGGCAAGUUUAGACAUCCAGGAUCUAGAUGAAGUUAUUUUUUCUUUCUCUUCAUUCAAGGCAGAUCUCAGUGGGACCCCUCUCAGCAUCUGGCUUAUGUUAUCUGUAAGUGUGACAGAUUUCGCCAAGAAGAAAUUCCUGUCUGCUCUCCUGGCACAGAAAGGUGUCUUGGAUGAUGAUCCUUCAACAUGGACGGGCCAUGAGAAAGCUGACAGCCUGCAGUGCUAAGAAUGCUUCAGGUUCUAAGAUAAGAAGACUUGAAUGCAGAGUAUGCUUCUUGCUGUACAGAAGAACUCCAUCUGCCUUGGAACAGCAUUGUCAACACACAUAGAACUAGAGACGAGUAAGAGAGAAACCUGCUGAUUUUGUGAGUUAAUAGAUCCUUCCCACCUUGUUCCGAAAUUAAUCUAUGUUGUUUAUCUGACAGUAGCAGAAAGAAUUCUUACUAAUUUACCAGAAAAUAUUAAAUCUUCUUUUUCUGAGUGAUCCUAUUUAUCCAUUUCCCUUCCUUCCAUGCAUUGGUUUUAAAUAUACGUGUGACCCAAUUCCUUGGACAUGAUCAUCCUGGUGAACAGACACUCA